GCGGGGACGGCCGAGGGGAGGGCCCGCCGGGGGCCGACCUGCCGGCUCCUCCCCCCGCCGCCCUGCGCGCAUAAAGCCCCGCGCUCGCCGGCGCGUCCGGGCGCCCGUGGAGGCGGCGGCGCCUGGACCCUGCUCUCGCUGGGCUCCCGGGUCCCCGAGGGUGAGAGAGACCCCGAGCCCCGAUGCGGGCUGGGACCUGGGCGCGGCCGCAACCCCCACCCACCCCAGCGCGGGGGCCGGGCCGCGGGAACGCCCUCCCGGAACGAAGCGCUUCCCGGUACCUUCAAGGUAGCUCGGUUCCUGAUCGGGGACCCCCCAGUCCUCCCUCUCAGGCCCCCGCUGCCCCGAAUCGGAGAGGUCCUCAGUAGCCCUGGGUCGGGAGGGAGACAGCCUCACGGCCCCCAGGCCCCUCGCGGUGCAUUGGGUGAGAAUCCCUCCAUCCUGCCAGUCGGAGCGAGAAGCCGCCCUCCAAGCCCCCAGCUGCCUCGAACCUAAUUUAGGGUUCUCUCUCAGCGGCUUUCAGUCCACUCCCAGUGUCCCAGAUCCCUCAGAUCCAAUUUGGGGAGCCCUUUCUGUGCCUCGCGUCCCGAGUGGGGAGCCUCCACCCGCACCCCAGCAGAAACCGUAUCAGUUUCCCCAGUUGCUCGUCAUCCUUGCUGUCCCGAAUGAGAACCCCCCUCAGCUGUCCCAAGUCCCUGCCGUCCACAGAAGCCCCCCUGCCCCGAGCCUGUGGGGCACCCCCACCCCGCGUAUGAGGAAUCUCCACUGUGUUUCUCUGGCUCCCCGGCUCUCGCCCGCCCCACGCAGACCACUGUCUGGAUUCGGUAAAGCCGGUUCCGGCCGCUCCCUGGCCCCUCCCCACCCAGUCCCGGGGAGAGGCCAGUGCCUCUUAGAGACUCCCUUUUCCAGUUUAGGGGCCUCCAGGCUCAGCGGGGCGCCUUCCCCCUCCGGAUGACCCCCUCGUAAGCCCCACCCCAUCGGACUGGAAGAACCUAACUGCCUACCCACCGCGUUUGGAGUUACUUCUCUCUGUCCAUCUCAGCUGGAGACACUGCCCCCGAAGGCCAGACACCUUCGGCCCCCCCUGCUCCUCCCCAGGCCCCCAUCUUACGGGUCUCUGAGGUCCCCCCGAAGGUUCCCUCAAGACUCCUGGCGGCCCCCCGCAAAAACUCCCUCCCUCCAGCCUGGGAGCCGUGAGCAAGUCCAUGCUGGAUCGCCCCGGAAGCCGGAGGCGGCCCCCUCUGGGUCCCCAUUUGGCCAAAUCCAUAUCCUCUCCUUCAUUUCCCAGCCCGGAGUCAAACCAGGAGGCUAAGGCAGCCAGCCACUCCCUCCGUGCCCUGAACUCCCAGCCCUGCUGGGGCGGGUCUCAGGGCCACACUAGCCCCUCCCCCCAACUCACCUCCCACUCUGUCCCCUCCCCUCUCUACCUUAAAUCCACGCCGCGUAACCUCGUGACACCCCUUGACGACAUCCCAUCGCUUCUCACCUUGACAUCCCUUCUCCAGUCAGCCACAUUUUAUCAACGUGCCCAGCAGCUCUGGGCAGCGGAGCCCUGACCUCUGGAAGGGUGCCCAUGACCCCACCCCUUAGUAAACGUUCCCCCGCCCGCCCCAAUCACCACACGUAUGGGAACCUGAGAAACUCAAGUUAAUGGUUUCCUCCGGACCUUCUGGGAACACUCAGCAGGUCUAUCCUGCCACCCUGUGUGUGUGACGCCAUGCCAGCUUGCUUUUUCCUGUUGUUAUGCUCCUCCUGGCCCGCAGUUUCUCAGACCCCCUGAACUCGGGUUGGGGGGCUUCCCACACGAGGCAUGUCUCACCAUCUCAACGCAAACCGGAGCAUCAGGUGUGCCCUGGAAGAGACACCCGUGAAGGUCAGUCGGUAGCACCUUCAGUGUUAGGGAACUGACUGUUCCCAGGGCCACACCUCCUGACCCUCGUGUGCCAAAGGGAGCCCAUGGGGAUGUGCGAGGAGGGGAGAACCCGAAGUGUCCACGGGCAUUGGUUUGGGUGCUGGUGCUGUUGGGCAGGUGGCCUGCAGGGUGGGAGAUGGGCAAGGGUCACUGGUCCAGAGCCAGCCAAGCCUUCGUGAGCAGUGGAUUGAGAUGGGUUCCAUUUAUCAGUGUCCCCACUCGGGAGGAGGAAGUGUAUCCUUGUCACCCCCUGGUUUGAAGCACAGUAAUGUUUGGGGGGGCACUUAACAGAAGUCACCUCCUCCUGCAGGUUCAUCUCAGCUUCGCUGCUUCAGGCCACACUGGCUGUGCACUGGGGGCAAGGAGUCCUCCCGGGGGCAGCCCUCACAGGACAGUGUGGCUGCACGUGCGGGAUCCUCACGGUAACCUGAGGGUCUCAGUGGUGUUCAGGAACAAUGAUCUUCGGGGCAACCGGCCCAAGCUCCAGAAUUCAGGGACUAGAGGGUGUGGUUCCGGCUCUUUCUGUCUAGUACUCCACGCACUGCGCAUCACUCACAGAACCAAAGAAUGACUUGCUUUAUAGGUCUUUUUUUUUUUUUAAUCUCUUCCAGAAAGAGGGCAAGUGACUUAAUGCCGGAGCACUGAGAUGCAACUUGGCACAGUCAUUCCGUCGACAAAUAUUUAUUGAACACCAGCCGCCCAGCAGCCACUGUCUUAAGCACUGUAUUCCUAGCACCUGCCUUUGUGAAGCUUGCUUUCUAGAGACAGGAGCCAGAUAAUAAAUAAAUAGGUAAACAGAUAAGUAGGAUGUCAGUUAGGUGUUGGUAAGUGCUAUGGAGAAGGAAGGGGGACAGGGAGGGUGGGAGGUGUGGGGGCGAGGGGAAGACGCAAUGUCAACUCAGGCAAGUUCUCAUGGGGAGGGGUGAUGUUUUAGUAAAGACGUGAAGGAAAUGGGGUGCAUUGAUCUACUGUAUUAUCCAGAACUGUCACUUAAGCAGGACACCUGCCUCUCUUGAGUGCAAUGCUAAUUGAUAUUCACAAUUUGACUUUUCACUGCUCUGACAACAAUGGUUCCCCAAACUUAAUGCGCUUAAAAUAUCAUCCAGUGAUUUUUCCAGCAGACACAGGGUAAAUGGGGGCUCUGAAAACUGCUUAAAAAAAAAAAAAGGCAAGCAAGCACCUCUAUCAGAAGAUGCUGAUCGCUGAGGUUUUCCUUGGACCACUCUUAAAGAAACACUGCUCUAAAAUAAAGAGUCUCCUAGAACGACAACAACAACAACAAAAUUAUAGCAAGUGAAUGGCUGGGGUAAUGAAAGCGUUGGACUGAAAGAUGAUAGAUUCACCACCACCGUUUCUGGUUGAGUCUAGAGGAACACCACGCAGCCUUCCGAGCCUCCGUGUACUCACAGAGUAAGGCUUGCCGAAAGACUUGAGUGAGACCACGUAUUUGAAAGCAAUCUAAGAUCUGGAAAGCACUCUGGAAAGGGGAAGAAAUUCUGACUGUGCUUCCGCCGAUCCAGUUCAUUUGGUCCAGUGUAUGUACAGUCACCUUCAAGACAGUGUGGCAGUGGGCACCGAGCUAUCCAUCUAGAUCAACAGAAUGGAAUGAAGACUCCACAAAUAAACCGGUCCCUUCAAAAAAAAAAACGGUGCUGGGACAACGGGAGAGCCGUGUGCAAGAGAACAAAGUUGUACCACUACCUCACACCAUGUACGUCCAGACGCCAGCUCGAAAUGGAUCGAAAAUCUAAAUGUAAGAGCUACAACUUUUAAAAGAAAGAUAGAUCACUUGGACAUCAUUAAAAUGAAAAACUUUUCGUGCUCCAAAGGACGCUAUCAAGAAAGUGAAAAACAGCCCACAGAAGAGAAAAAAAAUUUUUUUGCAAACCAUAUACUUGAUGAGGAACUUGUAUCUGGAAUAUGUAAAGAAGUCAUACAAUUCAAUAAUAAAAAAGGUAAAUUAUUCAAUUAAAAAUGGGCAAAGGAUCUGCAAAAGCCAUUUCUCCAGCAAAGAUAUAUAAACGGCCAAUAAGCACCUGGAAAAAAUGCUCAGCGUGAUUAGCCAUAAGGAAGUGCAGGUCAAAACCACAGUGAGACACCACUCUGCACCUCCCAGGAUGGCUGUGUUAUGAUAAAAAGGGUAGAUAAUAACAAGUAUCGGUAAGGAGGGGGUGAAAUUGGGACCUUUAUACAUUGCUGGUGCAACACGAUGGAAAAUGGUCUGGAAAAGCAGGUCCUCAAAAGGUUAGACAUAGAAUUACCCUAUAACCCAGCAAUUCCACUCCUAGGUGUAUAUACUCCAGAGACAUGGAAACACGUCCACACGAAAACCUGUACGUGAAGGUUUGCAGCAGCAUUAUUGUUCAUAACAGCCAAGGAGUGGGAGCAACCCGAACGGGCAUCACUUCUAUACAACGGAGUGUUGUUUGGCCAUAAAAAAGAAUGCAUUACUGGUACCUGCUACAACACAGGUGAACCUUGAAAAAAUUAUGCUAAGUGAGAGAAGCCAGAAAUGAAAGGUCACGUAUUGUAUGAUUCCAUUUACACGAGAUGCCCGCAGGAGGCAAACGCACAAAAACAGGAAUAAAUGGGUGGUUGCCUGGGGCUUGUGUGCGGAGGGGUGGAGUCAGGGGAGAUCUGGGGGGAAACGCGUACAGGUUUCUAUUUGGAGUAACGAAAAUAUUCUAACAUUGAUUAUGGGGAUGGCCGCACAAUUCUGUGAAUAUACGAAAAACUAUUGAAUGGUACACUUUAAAUGGGUAAAUUGUGUGGUAUGUGAAUUACAUCUCGAUCAAGCUGUUACCCCCCCCAAAAAUCACUUACCUAUUAUAAACUUUUCUCUGAUCCCUGUGCCUACGCAUCAAGAUGAAUUUACCCUUUUUUCUCUCAUAGCAUCUUGUUUUUAACUUUUAUCAUCAUCAUCAUCAUCAUCAUCAUCGUUGUCACUAGAAAUAGUUAAAUACUUCCCAUAUACCAGACACUGUGCUAAGUAAGGACUUUUCAGGGAUUUUCCCAUUUCAUUCUCCCGGCAAUUCUUCAAGGAAGAAACUAUUGUAUUUUUGUUUUACUGACCA